GAUAACUGAUAAAGUUUGUUGCCGUUAAAAUAACUUUGUGCAGUUACCAGCAUGUCCUUCUGUUUUUGUUCCUAUCUGUCCUCUACCCCACCACCUCCAGUUGCAAUCAUUUUAUCUUCCCAGAUCCUAAGAACUGUAUAAUUGCUGGAUAAUUUUCUGUUAUCAUCUAUGAAACUAUGAUAUUACCUGUUCUUAAUGAUGUAGUAGAACAAUAGAAAUGGCUUACUACUAUUGCAUG
rnacentral:misc_RNA from 1 species